UGGGGAAUAUUGGACAAUGGGAGAAAGCCUGAUCCAGCCAUGCCGCGUGUGUGAAGAAGGUCUUCGGAUUGUAAAGCACUUUAAGUUGGGAGGAAGGGCAGUAAGCGAAUACCUUGCUGUUUUGACGUUACCGACAGAAUAAGCACCGGCUAACUCCGUGCCAGCAGCCGCGGUAAUACAGAGGGUGCAAGCGUUAAUCGGAAUUACUGGGCGUAAAGCGCGCGUAGGUGGUUCAUUAAGUUGAAUGUGAAAGCCCCGGGCUCAACCUGGGAACUGCAUCCAAAACUGGCGAGCUAGAGUAGGGCAGAGGGUGGUGGAAUUUCCUGUGUAGCGGUGAAAUGCGUAGAUAUAGAAAGGAACACCAGUGGCGAAGGCGACCACCUGGGCUCAUACUGACACUGAGGUGCGAAAGCGUGGGGAGCAAACAGG
rnacentral:rRNA from 1 species